rnacentral:rRNA from 1 species
CGUCAGCUCGUGUCGUGAGAUGGACGGGUGAGUAACGCGUGAGUAACCUGCCUUGGAGUGGGGAAUAACACAUCGAAAGGUGUGCUAAUACCGCAUGAUGCAACGGGAUCGCAUGGUUCUGUUGCCAAAGAUUUAUCGCUCUGAGAUGGACUCGCGUCUGAUUAGCUAGUUGGUGAGGUAAUGGCUCACCAAGGCGACGAUCAGUAGCCGGACUGAGAGGUUGACCGGCCACAUUGGGACUGAGACACGGCCCAGACUCCUACGGGAGGCAGCAGUGGGGAAUAUUGGGCAAUGGGCGCAAGCCUGACCCAGCAACGCCGCGUGAAGGAAGAAGGCCCUCGGGUUGUAAACUUCUUUUAUUCGAGACGAAACAAAUGACGGUACCGAAUGAAUAAGCCACGGCUAACUACGUGCCAGCAGCCGCGGUAAUACGUAGGUGGCAAGCGUUAUCCGGAUUUACUGGGUGUAAAGGGCGUGUAGGCGGGACUGCAAGUCAGAUGUGAAAUUCCAGGGCUCAACUCUGGACCUGCAUUUGAAACUGUAGUUCUUGAGUGAUGGAGAGGCAGGCGGAAUUCCGAGUGUAGCGGUGAAAUGCGUAGAUAUUCGGAGGAACACCAGUGGCGAAGGCGGCCUGCUGGACAUUAACUGACGCUGAGGCGCGAAAGCGUGGGGAGCANACAGGAUUAGAUACCCUGGUAGUCCACGCUGUAAACGAUGGAUACUAGGUGUGGGGGGACUGACCCCUUCCGUGCCGCAGUUAACACAAUAAGUAUCCCACCUGGGGAGUACGAUCGCAAGGUUGAAACUCAAAGGAAUUGACGGGGGCCCGCACAAGCGGUGGAGUAUGUGGUUUAAUUCGAAGCAACGCGAAGAACCUUACCAGGGCUUGACAUCCC